UACGGAGGGUGCAAGCGUUAUCCGGAUUUACUGGGUUUAAGGGUGCGUAGGCGGGUCUUUAAGUCAGUGGGGAAAUCCUCCUGCUCAACGGGAGAACUGCCAUUGAUACUAUUGAUCUUGAAUUCAGUUGAGGUGGGCGGAAUGUGUCGUGUAGCGGUGAAAUGCUUAGAUAUGACAUAGAACACCAAUUGCGAAGGCAGCUUACUACGGAUAUAUUGACACUGAGGCACGAAAGCGUGGGGAUCAAACAGG
rnacentral:rRNA from 1 species